UGUUUUUCUUUCUGGGUCAAUGUAGGAUUCAAAGCUCUAUGAAUACACUUCAAUGCGAAAUUUAAAUGAAUCCAGACAAGGGUUUUGGGGUAAUCUUGCUAGAAAAGCUAAAUCUUUUGUCGAAGAUGAUAAUGCUCCUCAACAAGUGGAUUCACCUGGUAGAGACCGGCACCAUGUGCCUCAAGCUUCAAUUAAACCCAAGGUCAGAAUUCAAUCUAGGAUUGCAGCACUUGCCUUGUUGAAUACAAAAGUACCAGAAUCCAUACCCAUCUCAUGACAGCGAUCGAAAAACAGACAGUCCUAUAUUACAGAAGGGACUGAAAGCUAUCCCAUCUUCCCUAAAUUAUAUUGGUAAUGCUGUAGAGGAGGGUCUUACUAAGGUGGAGAAUCGGACUGCAGACAUUAUCCAAGAAACCUCUAAGCAUAUCAAGAAAAAGCUUAGUGGUGCUGCUACACAGAAUCAGGCAACUAGUUGUGGUAGCACAUGGCAACCCCAAAUACAGGCCCAAAAUCAAACUGACCAAGAACUUCAACUAAAAGCAUCUCGCGACGUAAGGUGGCAGCUGUGUCAAUGGUUCAUAUAAUGAAAAUAUAUUACAUGUGUGGGUUUCCCUAAACUUGUGCCAGCCAGAUUGAGUUGAAAACUGCCAGAUUGGCUUUUCUGCAUGCUACAAAAUAACAUUGAUUUAAUUCUAGGGCAGAGAAUGUUUAAUUUUUACCAUGUGGAUGUGGUAGAUGCUUCUAAGUUCUAUCCUGCUUCCUAGAGGUUUCUGCAUGUUCUUUGACUGUAGCUUUUUUAGAUCUAUAAAUUAACUAACUGCUCUGAUGAUUCAAUUUGUGUCGACCACCAAUGCUGUUCUUUUUGAUCAGUAUCCUACUGUUUCCAAUAUAAGGUCUUGUGAUAUUUUGGGAAUCCUUGUUACAAUGUUUAUGCUACAUGCGAGUAUGACACAGCUGUCUAUAGAUAGUUUUUAGUGAAACUGUUUCCAAUUUCAGACAAAACACGCCUUACACCCCAGAAUGGAACCUUUUACAGUCUCGCAAGUUCCAGUCAUAGCAGCAACAAAAAAUUGAAGAUAGAAUUGACUAGGAACCUAUAUAAGGGCUUUAGAUGAUAUGUAGAAUUACUUGUUAUGCAAUCCUAAUUUUGAUUUGUUUUCUUUGUGAGAGGUAUGAUCUGCUGUUGAUUUGUGUUGCAGGUUGCAAUGGCUAUGGCUGCCAAGGCAAAGCUUCUUCUUCGAGAGUUAAAAACUUCUAAAGCGGAUUUGGCUUUUGCUAAGGGGCGAUGUGCUCAGCUGGAGGAGGAAAAUAAACUCCUUCGAAAGAAUCAUGAAAGGGGGGACAAUCCAGAAGAUGAUGAUUUGCUACAGGCUACAGCAAUCUGGCAACUCUCACCUCAUACCCAUGCAUGCUCAGCAAGAUGAGGAAUAUGUAUGUAAUUUUUUUGUUUUUGGAAUUUUUUUUUUGGUUGGGGGGGGAAGGGCCCCCCUCAACCUACAUGUCGGUCUACCCUAGGCAUUUGUAGCAUAUCGCCAUGAGCAGCUCUAAUUUCCAAUUCUGGAAACAACUUUAUUUGAUAUUGUUUUGGGAAGAGUCCAGCUCUUGAUAGAUUGUAUCUUUCCUUAAAAAGCUACCUAUGUCUAAUUUAGCAAUAUGAUUGAAUGGAGUUUAUGCA